rnacentral:rRNA from 1 species
AACGAACGCUGGCGGCAUGCCUAACACAUGCAAGUCGAACGAAGGCCCGAUUUCGGUUGGGUCCUUAGUGGCGCACGGGUGCGUAACGCGUGGGAAUCUGCCCCUCGGUUCGGAAUAACAGUUAGAAAUGACUGCUAAUACCGGAUGAUGACGUAAGUCCAAAGAUUUAUCGCCGAGGGAUGAGCCCGCGUAGGAUUAGCUAGUUGGUGUGGUAAGAGCGCACCAAGGCGACGACCCUUAGCUGGUCUGAGAGGAUGAUCAGCCACACUGGGACUGAGACACGGCCCAGACUCCUACGGGAGGCAGCAGUGGGGAAUAUUGGACAAUGGGCGAAAGCCUGAUCCAGCAAUGCCGCGUGAGUGAUGAAGGCCUUAGGGUUGUAAAGCUCUUUUACCCGGGAUGGUAAUGACAGUACCGGGAGAAUAAGCUCCGGCUAACUCCGUGCCAGCAGCCGCGGUAA